ACAGAUUAGCCUCAGAAAGAAAGCUGUGUGAAAAAGAUGAAACACAGAUUUGAAGGCAAUCUUGAAGACUAGACAGAAAUCUAUAAAUCAAGGAAGGAAGAACCUCAAAAUCACACUUCAUAACUGCUUCAAUAACCCUUGGCAAUAGACACAACACUGGAUGUUGGCUGAUAACACUAAAAUUUUUGCUGGUUCGAUCUUAAGAAACAGGAUAAGCGUGCAACCACCAGAACAGAAAUGGAUCGGGCAUGAUAUCUGCUUCUUCAAUUUGUAGUUUUAUACUCAAAAACUGGCAUGUAUGUACCUAAUUGGUAGCAUGCAAGUCAUACGACUCUAUCCCGACUUUGAAAGAGGUUGAGAACUUAAUUUCUGGCUUCUACCUUGGGAAGGCUCAGACUCAUAACCUGGAAAAUUAGCCAACAUGCACAGGAUAUUCAAAGCUUCUAAGCAGUCAAAAGAUUGUCAAGUGGUAAAACAGACAUGAAAAAAACCUUUUUUUGGCACUCAAUUUGAAAAAUGUAACUUUCUCAAAAUAUCGUAUGUGGCUUUCCGUAAAAUUAAAGCAGUCCUGGGAGAGAGAACAUCUCA